rnacentral:rRNA from 1 species
GAUUAACGCUGGCGGCGUGCAUGAAACAUGCAAGUCGAGCGCGAUGCGAGCUUGCUCGCAUCUAGCGGCGCACGGGUGAGUAACACGUGAGCAACCUACCUCGGAGCCCCGGGAUAGCCCUCGAGAAAUACAGGAUUAAUACCGGAUGAUGUCGCCGUGGGGCGAUCCCACUGGCGAAGAAAGGACUUCGGCCACUCCAAGACGGGCUCGCGGCCUAUAGCUUGUUGGUGGGGGUAAUGGCCUACCAAGGCGAAGAUGGGUAGCUGGUCUGAGAGGACGAUCAGCCACACUGGGACUGAGACACGGCCCAGACUCCUACGGGAGGCAGCAGUUAGGAAUUUUCCGCAAUGGGCGCAAGCCUGACGGAGCAACGCCGCGUGGGUGAUGAAGGCCUUC